CUUAUCGUUUGUGCACACAUCCACACCCACACCCACGCCCACACACACCGCGUCGGAGAAGAGCUUCUGCUAUGAGCGUCUGCUUCUUCUCCACCACCCCUCACCGGGUCACCUCCACCACCGCGGCCUCAUCUUUUUCCCGACCGCUUCACUGCCAAACCUACCCUUCCUUCCACCACUGUGGCUUCGGCCACCAUUUCCGAUACCACGUUCCUCCCGUAAAGUUCUUAUCGACCCCAUGGAUGAGCCGAGUCCGCCUAAUCGGAGUCCUCAAGGAAUCCAGCGAGGUGGAGACUGAUGAUCGCCAGAGAGCUCCAGCAUCAGAUCAAGAAGAACUGGAAGAAGCCGCCGAUGGGGUCGUUGCCAACGGCGUCGUGGCGGAGACGAGCAAGGAAGGGUCGGAUUUGGUUCGAAAGGUUCCCGUCAGGAGCAAGAGAAAGAUUGAUGAGGAGGAGGACGGGUACGAUAGGUACACCCUGCGUAACGGGAGGGAGGUGUUUCAAGAAAAAGCGUACCUUGUUGGAGUUGAAUGUAAAGGUACUGAAGAUAACACAUUCAGUAUUGAGGAAUCACUUCAAGAACUUGCACAAUUAGCUGAUACUGCUGGACUUUCAGUUGUUGGCUCUACUUAUCAAAAGCUUGCUAAUCCAAAUCCGAGGACAUAUAUUGGCUCUGGCAAGGUUGCUGAAAUCAAGAGUGCAAUUCAUGCCCUUGAUGUUGAAACUGUAAUUUUUGAUGAUGAACUGUCAGCAGGACAGCUACGCAAUUUGGAGAACGCCGUUGGUGGGGAUGUUCGGGUAUGUGAUCGAACUGCUCUCAUUCUUGAUAUCUUCAACCAAAGGGCUGCAACUCAUGAAGCAGCUUUACAGGUUGCUUUAGCGCAAAUGGAGUACCAGCUUCCCAGGUUGACAAAAAUGUGGACUCAUCUUGAACGUCAGGCAGGUGGCAAGGUUAAGGGAAUGGGAGAGAAACAAAUUGAAGUGGACAAGCGUAUCUUGCGUACUCAGAUUAGUGCUUUGAAAAAAGAGUUAGAGUCUGUUCGGCAACAUCGGAAGCAAUAUCGUAAUCGCCGCCUAUCAGUACCUGUUCCUGUUGUGUCCCUGGUUGGUUACACAAAUGCUGGGAAAAGUACACUCUUGAAUCGCCUGACCGGAGCUGAUGUUCUUGCUGAGGAUCAGCUUUUUGCUACACUAGAUCCAACUACCAGAAGGGUCCAGAUGAAAAAUGGAAGUGAGUUCCUCUUGACUGAUACUGUGGGUUUCAUUCAGAAAUUACCUACAAUGCUCGUAGCUGCAUUUAGAGCGACACUAGAAGAAAUAUCUGAGUCGUCUCUUUUAGUGCAUGUUGUGGACAUCAGUCAUCCACUAGCUAAUCAACAGAUAGAUGCUGUUGAUAAAGUACUUACAGAGUUGGAUGUGGCAUCAAUACCAAAGUUAGUUGUGUGGAACAAGAUUGACAAGGCUGAUGAUCCUGAAAGAUUACAAUCUGAAGCAGAGCAAAUAGGAGCUAUAUGCAUAUCAGCAAUUAGUGGUGAUGGGUUGGAGCAAUUCUCCAGUGCAGUUCAAGCAAAGCUUAAGGCCAUUAACUUUGGGAUCAUCUUAACAGGACUCGUUGGUACCAGUUGAAGCUUUAAUUCCCUAUGACAAAGGGGAUCUUCUUAAUUCAAUACAUCAGGUCGGAAUGGUAGAGAGAACUGAAUUCAUGGAGAACGGGACCUUGAUAAGGGCACAUGUUCCUCUUCCACUUGCAAGGUUGCUCACCCCAAUGAGGCAACUUGUGGCUGCUGCACAAUGAUUAUGGUAUAAUGUGAAUUCGUAUCGAUUAUGUUAUAGAUAAAUCUUUCUAUAGCUAGCACAAAGAAAUUAUCACGCUGCAUUCUCAAAGUACAUAGUCUGAACCGUCCUCUAUCAAGAUAGGUGUCAGGAUCCUCUCCUAGUCUGAGGAAAAGCUGGAGAAGUUGGAACCUCCAAUUCUCAAAUCUGGCCUGUCCAUCAGAUCCUCGUGUCUUGGUCCUCACAAAUUUGAUCGAUGCCUAUGAAUAUGAUUGAAGGGCCUAUAUGCAGGAAGAUUCAGGAUCUGAGAGUCGAUGGAUACAGCCAAUGUGAGAAUUGAAGCUUUUCAAUACUGUUAGACAUAAUAGAAUGUCUGAAGUGUUUCUGCAUGGAUUUGAAGCAUAUAUAUAGUUGACAUUAUCAUAAGCCCAUAGAUAAAGUUAGUGUGUCCCUGUGAUGAUAGAAUGUUGGAUGUGAUCUCCAAGUUUUUAUGAUAUAGUUGGGAUUUGGAGUGCAAACAUGUAUCUUAUUAUAUAGACAUCUUUUAUGGUCUCUUGAUUCCUUCA